rnacentral:lncRNA from 1 species
AUGCUUUUUUUAAUUUUUAUUUUUAAAUCGAGGUUUAAAGCCAUUUCACUCAUUCAAGUUCAGGGUGCUAUUAUCAUUCAUUUCCUUGGAUGUAGGACCAGGCUGUUAUUGCAUAACUGCCAGGAAAAGAAAAGAAGACAAGCAGCAGCAACGCUCACAGCCCGCUUUCCUUUCGCACUCUUCCAAGCAAGUCUGCCAGGAGCUGUAUUGACCAGGGCGCUCUAUCAGCCUCUCCCCGUUUUCACCCCAGGUGCUCCGAUCCGUUCCACUCGCGCUCAGGGAGCCCCAGGCGGCAGCCCCAGCCCCGCAGGAUGGGAGCUCCUCCAUGGCAGGAUGUUUACAUAA